rnacentral:rRNA from 1 species
CGUUUGGUGGUCAUAGCGUUGGCUAAACACCCGAUCCCAUCCCGAACUCGGCCGUUAAGGGCCAACACGCCGAUGGUACUGCGUCUCAAGACGUGGGAGAGUAGGUCACCGCCAAACCN